ACUGCUCAGUAACACGUGGAUAAUCUGCCCUUGGGUGGGGCAUAAUCUCGAGAAAUUGAGCAUAAUACCCCAUAGAUCUAGUAUGCUGGAAUGCUUCUAGAUUGAAAACUGCGGUGCCCAAGGAUGAGUCUGCGGCCUAUCAGGCUGUAGUGAGUGUAAUGGACUCACUAACCGACGACGGGUACGGGCCUUGAGAGAGGUAGCCCGGAGAUGGACUCUGAGACACGAGUCCAGGCCCUACGGGGCGCAGCAGGCGCGAAAACUUCACAAUGCGGGAAACCGUGAUGAGGGAAUUCCAAGUGCUAGCAUUUCUUUUGUUAGCUGUUUACAUGCUUAAAACGCAUGUAGAGUAAGAGCUGGGUAAGACUGGUGCCAGCCGCCGCGGUAAUACCAGCAGCUCAAGUGGUGGUCGUUAUUAUUGGGCCUAAAGCGUCCGUAGCCGGUCUGGUAAACUCUUGGGUAAAUCGGGCAGCUUAACUGUCCGAAUUCUGAGGAGACUGCCAGACUUGGGACCGGGAGAGGUCAGAGGUACUCCUGGGGUAGGGGUGAAAUCCUGUAAUCCUAUGGGGACCACCAGUGGCGAAGGCGUCUGAUCAGAACGGGUCCGACGGUAAGGGACGAAGCCCUGGGGCACAAACCGGAUUAGAUACCCGGGUAGUCCAGGGUGUAAACGCUGCAGGCUUGGUGUUGGGGGUCCUACGAGGGCACUCAGUGCCGGAGAGAAGUUGUUAAGCCUGCCACCUGGGGAGUACGUCCGCAAGGAUGAAACUUAAAGGAAUUGGCGGGGGAGCAC
rnacentral:rRNA from 1 species